rnacentral:rRNA from 1 species
CAAGUCGAACGAGAACUCCCUUCGGGGAGGAAAGUGGCGCACGGGUGCGUAACACGUGGAUAACCAACCAUUGGUUGGACAACACCGGGAAACUGGUGCUAAUACCAGAUGUGUCGCAGCUGUCUUCAGGCGGUUGCGAGAAAGGCCCGCAAGGGUCGCCAACGGACGGGUCCGCGUCCCAUCAGCUAGUUGGUGAGGUAAUGGCUCACCAAGGCAAAGACGGGUAGCUGGUCUGAGAGGAUGAUCAGCCACACUGGAACUGAGACACGGUCCAGACUCCUACGGGAGGCAGCAGUGGGGAAUAUUGCGCAAUGGGCGAAAGCCUGACGCAGCCACGCCGCGUGAGCGAUGAAGGUCUUCGGAUCGUAAAGCUCUGUGGGGGGAGAAGAAGAAAGCCGGUGAAGAGCCGGCCCUGACGGUAUCCCCUUAGCAAGCACCGGCUAACUCCGUG